UCGACACAUCAGCCUCAAGGAGCACAAAGCGAUUCUUGAUCAGGAGAAAGACACUCGUGUUCAAAAUCUAUUACAGGAUUGUUGCUUCUACUUGUCAACCAAACAACAUUUUGCGUCUCCUUCAGCACACAUCACACCUAGUCUCAUACCAGCAUAUCAUUGCUAGGAAACAACAGAGUUAGGAAUUUCACAGCAGCCAGAGUCUGUAACCAAAAAAAGCGAAAGAGGGAGGAAAAAAAUAUUUUAACGAGCUGCUAACUACUUGACGUUUCAGACAUAACCUCAGACUGUAGCUAAUGAUUUUACAUCAAAAGUGGCAAAGUGUUUGUUUACAAGUUCAGACCUGUCACCACCGAGUACACCACAAAAGCAAGUCUCUUCUCAGAGUGACAACUUUCCAUUUCUCGGGGGUGCCAUGCUUGUAUAUUGCUUGCCUGCCACAAACCCUCAAACUAUAUCACAUAGAGAGACUGCUUCAGGGUCAUCUCUUGAAUCAAUGGAACGGGAGUCUUGUGCCCCCUGACCAGUUCAUCUCAGAGUUACAGAAAUGAUUCAAUGAAAAGACAUCGACACGCAAUGUGGGUUUAGCUUUCAGCCUUCACUUUAGACCAUCUCCAACAAUAGAUUCACUAUUAGAGUUCUAAAUCAAUUUUUUAAGCGAAAAUAAUUAAAUUAAAAAAUUUAGAUACUUGUUUAAUUUUACCCACUCCAAUGGUAGAACCAAUUAAAAGACAUCGACACGCAAGGUGGGUUUCGUUUUCAGCCUUCACUUUAGACCAUCUCCAACAAUAGAUUCACUAUUAGAGUUCUAAAUCAAUUUUUUAAGUGAAAAUAAUUAAAUUAAAAAAUUUAGAUACUUGUUUAAUUUUACCCACUCCAAUGGUAGAACCAAUUAAAAGUUCUAAAUUUCAAAAAUUUGAAAAUUUG